rnacentral:rRNA from 1 species
UUAACGAGAGUUUGAUCCUGGCUCAGAAUCAACGCUGGCGGCGUGCCUCAGACAUGCAAGUCGAACGCGAAAGUCCCCUUCGGGGGGCGAGUAGAGUGGCGUCCGGGUGAGUAACACGUAGGUAAUCUACCUUUGGGUGGGGAAUAACGCAGGGAAACUUGCGCUAAUACCGCAUAAUGCAGCGGCACCACAUGGUGACAGUUGUUAAAGCGGGGGAUUUUCGAACCUCGCGCCUAAAGAGGAGCCUGCGGCAGAUUAGCUAGUUGGUAAGGUAACGGCUUACCAAGGCAACGAUCUGUAGCCGGCCUGAGAGGGCGGUCGGCCACACUGACACUGACAUACGGGUCAGACUCCUACGGGAGGCAGCAGUCGGGAAUUUUGGGCAAUGGGCGAAAGCCUGACCCAGCAACGCCGCGUGAAGGAUGAAAUCC